rnacentral:rRNA from 1 species
AUUGAACGCUGGCGGCAUGCCUUACACAUGCAAGUCGAACGGCAGCACGGGUGCUUGCACCUGUUGGCGAGUGGCGAACGGGUGAGUAAUACAUCGGAACAUGUCCUGUAGUGGGGGAUAGCCCGGCGAAAGCCGGAUUAAUACCGCAUACGAUCCACGGAUGAAAGCGGGGGACCUUCGGGCCUCGCGCUAUAGGGUUGGCCGAUGGCUGAUUAGCUAGUUGGUGGGGUAAAGGCCUACCAAGGCGACGAUCAGUAGCUGGUCUGAGAGGACGACCAGCCACACUGGGACUGAGACACGGCCAAGACUCCUACGGGAGGCAGCAGUGGGGAAUUUUGGACAAUGGGCGAAAGCCUGAUCCAGCAAUGCCGCGUGUGUGAAGAAGGCCUUCGGGUUGUAAAGCACUUUUGUCCGGAAAGAAAUCCUUGACUCUAAUACAGUCGGGGGAUGACGGUACCGGAAGAAUAAGCACCGGCUAACUACGUG